GUCACUCGAGGCAAGGGGGUUACGACCCUUCUACAUACCAGUUCUAGUUGGCUAGCACAUUUGGUGGCUUCCUUGAGGAUUUCCCCGGCAUAUCUGACAGAUUAUUACCAGUGUAGGACCACCUUCGGGUGUGUUUUUGUAGUGUCUUUUCAUUCCGGACUGCAUUAGGUCUUCGUGCUCUAAACUUUGGUUUCACACUUACGCUUGCACUUGUAUGCUCGCACGUUGUGUAAAGCUGUUGGUUUUUAAUUAUUCGUGCUAUGUUUAUUAUUA